UUCAUUUCUGUGUCUCUGUGGUUCCCUCUCCAAAGCUGCGGGGAGAAGGUGCGUAGAACGGAGUCCUACAACUGCUUGUCUGUGGACUUAGUCCUUGGGGGCUCUGUACAAGACAGUUUGGCCCUCUACUUCAAGGGCUAUGAGGUAGAGUGUCGGUGCCAGUGGUGCUCUGGGCAGUUGGCCACUGUGGAGCCAACGUUACAGUCACUGCCUCGAGUGCUGGUCGUGCAGCUGAAACGGUUCAGCUUUAACUCCAGAGGGAACCUGGUGAAGCUGCACGAUCGUCUGCACAUCUCCCCACAACUCAGCCUGCAGGCCCACAGCACGGCCAGCGUUCGCUUGCCAGGGACGGCCAAGCCCCACCUCACCCAUGGGGAUUUCUUUGAAACCUCCCCAUCACCAGGGGGUGCUGUUCCCUUUGCAGAAUGAAUAUAGAAUCACCAGUGUGCUGUCCCACAUUGGGUCGAAUAUGAGACACGGUCAUUACAUCUGUGAGAGCUGUGAGUCCAACACACACUGGCUCUCAUUCGACGAUGAGAGAGUCCAACAGCUGGACCAGAAGUCUGUGUUGAGGCAGAGGUCAAACUCCGCCUAUAUCCUAUUUUAUGAGUACAGGUGAGAGCUCAUCCGUAACU